GACGAACGCUGGCGGCGUGCUUAACACAUGCAAGUCGAACGGAAAGGCCCCUUUGGGGGUACUCGAGUGGCGAACGGGUGAGUAACACGUGAGUAACCUGCCCUUGACUUCGGGAUAACUUCAGGAAACUGGGGCUAAUACCGGAUAGGAAUCCUUGCUGCAUGGUGGGGGUUGGAAAGCUUCGGCGGUUUUGGAUGGACUCGCGGCUUAUCAGCUUGUUGGUGGGGUAGUGGCUUACCAAGGCUUUGACGGGUAGCCGGCCUGAGAGGGCGACCGGCCACCUUGGGACUGAGAUACGGCCCAGACUCCUACGGGAGGCAGCAGUGGGGAAUAUUGCACAAUGGGCGGAAGCCUGAUGCAGCAACGCCGCGGGCGGGAUGACGGCCUUCGGGUUGUAAACCGCUUUCAGCAGGGGCGAAGCUUGUGGUGACGGUACCUGCAGAAGAAGCACCGGCUAACUACGUG
rnacentral:rRNA from 1 species